UUCAGCUCGAAAACAACAAUUUAUCUCUCCCUCUUUCUAUUACCACCGACAGUUCAUCUUCGAAAAUAGAUUUUCUUUUCCGAACAGAUCUUGUCUGAUUCCUCAUCGAUUAGUUUCAUACUUCUCAGAUUCGUUCAGAUGUGACGAAUCAUCUGUUUCAUCCGAUGAUAGAUGUUAUUAUUUCACUUAGGAGUGACUUGAUCUUGUCUAACAUUGAAGAAAAGCUGAGGGAAGAAAAGUUUUCAUAAACGAAAGCGUUGUUCUUGUCUCCAUUGAAAAAGAAGAUGUCUGAAAAGAAACUCGUCUUUUGUCUCUAUAUCAUUCACCAAGUGUGACUCAGAGUUUGUGAUUGUCAGUGACCGAGUUUUAUCCCCAUUUGCCGGAAUCCUCAGCCUCGUGAUUGAAGAUAAAAUGGCCUCAAUGGUUGGUCACAAAUAUGGAGUAUUAGGAUGGAGAAAGACAGGAAGUGAGCAUCUUCUAUUGCUUUAGUACGAUGAAGCUUGGGAAAUUGCGGGAUCUUAUUGUUGAGGCAAAGGACAAAAGUGUAGAGAUAGCUACUGCUGUGGGUGAACAGAUGCUUGAAAAGAAUGUGUUUAUAUUUGGAGCUCUGGACUUUGAUGAAGCGUCUACAACAGAGAAACUUCAUCAAUCGAUAGAGCUACAGAACACACUUGUGCGGUGUGCUUACACAAAGUUAAGCUCUGAAACCGAGAUUGAGCAAUUCAUUCAUCUGGAUAUGGGUAAUGAAGUUGAUCUGAGCGCUCAACAUAAAAUGUCUAUAGAGUACGCAGAGGCCAAGAAGCGUGCAAUGAAAAGUGCAGGAGAGAUAGUGGAGGUGCGGGAAUAACGUCAGUCAUGGCAGUGUGCUAUGUGCUGGUCAUACUAUUAGCAUCGAUGGGUUACAUACUAAGCCAAGGAUGGAGGUCGCUUCUUCUUGCAGUUACUGCCACUGGCAUGUUGGAAGUUAAGACACGACAUUGACGAAAGGAGCACCAAGUUCAUUCAGAAACUACUUUUAUCAUCGGAUAACAUUGGCGUUUCCGAAGGAAGACGAGAUUCGAUGACUAAGCAUUUCGUGCGGUUCCUCAGAGACGGUGGCAGAUCUUGAAUGAGUUCUUGGAAAGGACAAUAGAAAAAUGCAGUAAAGAUCUCUCCUCCCACUUGCUUAAACGUGAUCGGAUCUAUGUCAUUGGGUUUUUUUUUGUCUGCAUUUUUGUUUAUUUCCUCACAGCUGCUAUGGUUCUAUAGAUGCGUGGCUAAGUUGUUAUCCCAUUCUUGUGACCCUCUUGGUGCCUCAAAACUCGUUUUAGAUGGGCCCGACUUCGUUCGUUUAAGCCUUGCCUUCGUAUUGAUAGGUCAACGAAAUGGAAGGCAGCCAUAACUUUUUAUCUCCAAUAGUUUAGAUACUUUAUUUAAUUUUGUUUUAUAGCAUUGACGUUUAAGGUUAUUACAUUAAACAUAGAUUUUGUAGAAUCUUGGUUUUUUAGUAUUUUUAUUUUUUUUUGUAUCUCAGUCAUUGACGAUUACAAAACAUCAUUGUGAUUGACAUCGUCAUUUAUGUUUUAGGGUAAUAUUAUAAUUCUAUCAAAACCCUCUAAGUCUAGAGGUCAUAUAGGAUUCGGUUCAGAACCUAUUACUAAUAAUGUGAGUGUUGAUAAUGAUGCUGAGAGGUCGAGUGGAAGAGAAAGUCAAUAAGACAAAAAAAAACACCACGAAGGUUUAUCAAUUAA